rnacentral:rRNA from 1 species
CCUACGGGAGGCUGCAGUGAGGAAUAUUGGUCAAUGGGCUAACGCCUGAACCAGCCAAGUCGCGUGAGGGAAGACGGCCCUAUGGGUUGUAAACCUCUUUUGUCAGGGAGCAAUUGACUCUACGUGUAGCGUUAUCGAGAGUACCUGAAGAAAAAGCAUCGGCUAACUCCGUGCCAGCAGCCGCGGUAAUACGGAGGAUGCGAGCGUUAUCCGGAUUUAUUGGGUUUAAAGGGUGCGUAGGCGGAAUACAAAGUCAGCGGUAAAAUCGCGGGGCUAAACCCCGUUGUGCCGUUGAAACUGGUGUUCUUGAGUGGGCGAGAAGUAUGCGGAAUGCGUGGUGUAGCGGUGAAAUGCAUAGAUAUCACGCAGAACUCCGAUUGCGAAGGCAGCAUACCGGCGCCCAACUGACGCUGAAGCACGAAAGCGUGGGUAGCGAACAGGAUUAGAUACCCGGGUAGUC